UACGUAGGGGGCAAGCGUUGUCCGGAUUUAUUGGGCGUAAAGAGCGUGUAGGCGGCCAGACAGGUCCACUGUGAAAACUCGAGGCUCAACCUCGAGAGGUCGGUGGAAACCGUCUGGCUAGAGUCCGGAAGAGGAGAGUGGAAUUCCCGGUGUAGCGGUGAAAUGCGCAGAUAUCGGGAAGAACACCCGUGGCGAAGGCGGCUCUCUGGGACGGUACUGACGCUGAGACGCGAAAGCGUGGGGAGUGAACAGG
rnacentral:rRNA from 1 species